rnacentral:lncRNA from 1 species
CAGACCACCUCCACGGUCCAGCCCCCGCGUCCUUGCCCUUGGGCCCCGGCUUGGGACACCCCUUGACCACAGCCAGAAUGCCCAUUCCAAGGCACAGCUUCCGCCUUCUCCAUGAACCCUGCAGUGUGAGCCUCCAGGCCACACAGGCCUGCAUUCAAACCCAGAUCCUGCUACUUUGUGACGGUUGGCAAACUCCUGAAAAUUCAGUUUUCUUAAUCUGAAAGAGGAAAGUCAUAGUCAUUGCCACCUCACUAGGAAGUCAGAAUGAAAUCAUAUGUCAGUGAGGGGCUUGGCACAGUGUAAACGACAAACCAACCUGUCACUCCUUCCACCCCCCACCAAUCACACACCCGCUGGCUCUCCCUCCUAGACAUUUCAGUAGAGGUGUCACUGAUCUCCCACCUUGUGAUGGCUCUCAGACCCGCAGCCCCGUCUCCAGUUUAAAUUUGUGGACGAAGCAGCCAAGAGGCUCUGCAAGACACGCCAUCCCCUGAGCCCCCCACUUUCUGACAGCCGGAUCCCUAGAACUCCAGGAGGAUCCCUGGCACAGGAGAGAAGGGGCCGUGCGCCGGGCGUGCGGUCGGGCCCCUGCGUUGGUGACUGUACCUGUGCUCUGGACCUCUCGGAGGCUGGGUUUCCCCCACCUCCUCGCUGAGGAGGAAACUCAGAGCUUCAGAGAUGAAAGGCGGGAGCCUCUCAGACAACCAGGAGGGAGGAGCACCAGGCUGACAAGAGCAGUCCUCUCCUGGAGGAAGGGACCGGGCCUGGGAGGAAGCGAAAUGGACUUUUUAUUCCAAUGCUGUGGGCAUUUCCCAGCUCCCACCUCUCAAUAUCGUGUCGGGAGCAAGAUGUGCUGGGGAGCAAGAACCCCAAGGCCCCCAAGCCAUUGAGGAGCCUCUGGAUGCUGGACAGCAGCAAGAGCAGCAUGAACAGUGUGAACCCAGGGCUAGCAACAUCUUCCCAAGAAGAAGCCCAAGGAACCGGGGCCACCAGAACCAGAACCAAGUGAGAGGAAUGUGCCUCAGCCUGGGAGGCCCAGUCCACAGAUUGGGGUCUGCGUGGUUGCGGGAGGGGAUCCAGACACGCACAGGCGCAAGGCCCGGCACUGUGAACCGGAAAACCCCACCUAUGCCAGGAGGCCCUGUGACAUGGUGAGAGUAGGGCAGGACGGACCCACCCUGGUGCUGUCUGGGGUGCCAAUUGGCGGUGGGCGGGGGGAGCCGUGGCGGAGAGCGGGCUAAAUGGACCAGAUGGGCCAGUCCCUUCUAGGGCCCAGAUAGACGGCAGAGGUGGGGCAGGGGGGACCGGGGAGGAGGGGGAGCUGGAGUAUGGGAUGCCCCCUCUCACUGACCAGCUGUUUGACUUUCACAGAGCCGCUAAGUCUCAGUUUCCCCAUCUGUAAAAUGAGAAGCAGAGUCUCCCCCUUCUGGGAAACCGGGGUUAGAGAGAAUAUCACAGAGCAGGGUCCUACUUGCCGGAGCCCCUCUACCCUAGAGGAGCUUUCCCCCCAUGUCUCCAGAAUGA